rnacentral:rRNA from 1 species
UGGUAGUUUAACUUCUAAAGUUUAGUAAGUAUAUAUACACAAUCUAUUCUUUUAUGUAACAUGUAACGGUCCCUCUCUUUAGUUGAGAUCUAAGGAUGUUAUAAACAGUAUUAAGUUGAGGUUUCAACGUUCUGAAUUGUAAAUCAGAUAGAUUUUCAACUGCUUUAGUUGUUAUUAAGGUAGAAGAGGUUACCAAAGGUGCUGUCAAAACAUGAACUCCCAGAAGCAGAUCCUCUGCCUGCCACCUCGAAACAACAACGCGUCGCUCCUCCGGAGGGGAAACAAGAAGGUAGCGGCUCCGAGGACGGAGAUCCCUCCCGAGGCAGCUACAGUUUCUAUCGGUGGGACGAAUGUAUACGAAAGUAGGAACCCGGUUCUCAUCUUAGAACUCUUUGGAAAAUAUAGAGCCGGAGCUCGAGUGAAACUAAGUAAGUUUUCUACAGGAAGGUUGGUCCGAAUUUGUAGAACAUUGAGGUCAGUUCCAAAAAGAGUUUAACUGAAUUUUUAGGCUAGGAGUUUUGACAUGGUACGAUUCUUUUGUAACCCAGGUAUAACAGUCAAAAUCAACAACGUUUCUUUGUGUAAAGUAUGAGAACGGUAGAAGAAACGGGAUUCGACUUUAGGUGAGAUUAUAAAGGGGAAUAGGUACAUUUGGUAGCUUGGUUGUACGCUGAACAGUUACGUUUGACAUUAGAACAUUUAAGAUAUGUUUCCAAGGAGAAAUUUCUUGAGUUGUUUUACAUAAAAUUGCUAUGAAGUACCCAUAGACUUUUACUUAGAUAUUAUCGAGAGAAAAAUAAAUACUAUGUCAAUGUUUACGUCAUAAAGGACUUCCGGGUUAAGUUGAUGUGGUUGAUGGACAUACGACUAAACAACGAAUCAUAACCUUCGUGUCCUUCAAGGAGUGUACAUAUACAAGUAAUAGUGGAUGUUUUUACACAAUGGAUAGGUUACGAAUGGAUGUUGGCCCAGUCCCGUCACGAACAGAGGACUGCGUUGUGAUAUAUUGUUGUCGUCAAGUAGUCGUUCUUGUUAUCUUCAACUUGGCUUUAUGUUUAGUUGUUUGGUUUGGGUCGUUACCUGUCUAGUUGACGUAUCGUGGGUUUACUUAGAGCUUUUCUUAGUCACCCGUUUGGUUUCCCUGUUCCUUGACUUCGGCGUAGACGCAGCACACCGGCCGCCGGCGACAGUGAUGGGGCACCGUCUGCUCCCCCGCCCCGUCUUCUCCACUGGCGCCAUCGCUUACCCCCACGCUUUCAAGGUUGACACCUUCGCCUGCUCCCUCGGCCGCCGCCGCCCGGCGCCUCCGCUAACGCCGCCGCCGCCUGCUUGCCUCGCUCGCUGACCCUCUUCCCUUUCCUCGCGCGGACUCGGCUGAGUAGACCUCGGCUCUCAGUCGCGCGCUCGGCUCCCUUGCGCACCUCGCCCACCCUGCUCCCUAUGGCAGCCUACAACCCUUGCAUGUCCACAGUCGUCUACGCUAGCCGAUGCGUGCCCUCCUCCAAACGUCCUCCAGAGACAAUCCUUAAUUAAUUAAUCAAAUCAAUUUCCCAAUUAGGGACGAAUACAGCCAAAGUGAUAAUCGUUGGCGAGAAACAUUGGCGGAAACAUAAGCCCAUAUAUAUGGGGUUUGAAGUAGUAGGUAGUAAACGAGGACGGUGAGAGCAAAAUGAAAGUGUACAAUAGUCGUGCGGAUACGGCUCUCGGAGCUGCUUCUUGAGGCUACUUAAGGAAAGAGGCCUAUGCGACCUUGUUGGAAGAGGAGCAAAGAAGAAAAGCAGCUGGGGCAGCAGGAGAUGCUGCUAGAUGGGUAGUUAGUAGUUGGUUAAUUUAACCGUCAAGGAAGAGUUAGAAUCUAAGGAAAAGUAGAGUCUACGUUUCUCAUUCUUCCGGUGGUACUCUUCUUUCGUGUUUUAGGACUCUUAAAUGUUAAAGAACGUAGAUGGUACUGCUUGUGUGUAGACUUCUUGUUAUUGACCUUCUCGCCUUUUUGUCAGCUUGUUCUUAGUCCUUCGUGUUGCGUUUCUAGUUCUCUAUUUCAGUGUUUGUCGUUCGUAGGGCUUAGUCGGAAUUUCUGGUCUUGAGAACUAGAAUUAGCAAUGUAGUAGUCCACUAGGAUAAGGUUUAAAACAAGAAUCUGUUUAUGCAUGAUCAUUGGAGGUUAGGUCCGCUGCAUGGACGAACGUCGCCUCUCGGGUCGGAGCUGCAGCGUGGCCACGUGCUGCACGUUCUGUGGGCCGGUUGCCGGUUGAGGGAAUGGUUGUCGGCUGCGGUUAGCCGGUACCGGUGACUGCUCACUGCUGCGUCGCCGGUCGGCUCUGCCACAAACACUCCGUGGGGAGGACAAGGCCGAGGAACGUGAUGCCGCGCGUCGCGAGUCGGGUGCCGGGCCGGUGGGAGCCUUGGUGACGAAGGCCGCCGUCCUGGUCUAGAGCUGCGGCCGCCGCGGGAGGCCGCGUGGUCCGGCGCUGGUAUACGUACCGCGAAGGGCAUGGCGUCGUGACGUCGCCGUAGCCUGCGGGUGCUGGGAGAGUCGCACCACCGACGAGGAGGUUCGCUGCCGUGCUGACCGGGGAGAGUCGCACCUCCGCGGCACGGAAUCGUUCGUUGCCGCUCCAACCAAAGUUACCGAUCUUUAGUGUGCGUGGGUGCCCUACCCUUAACCCGUUUGGAAUAGACAAACAAAAAAGAGUUAAAUCGGGAAUGUCAAAUGAAUAAGUGCCUAAUCCGUGAUGGAUGUCUAGGACA